rnacentral:ncRNA from 1 species
CAAAGUUUUGGUCCUAAACUUGCCAUUGUUUUUUAUCAAAAUUAUACAUGCAAGCCUCCACAAACCAGUGAGAAUGCCCACACACCCCAAAUAGACAGCCGGAGCAGGCAUCAGGAAACAGCCGACACUUAGCCCAAGACGCCUUGCACAACGCCACACCCACACGGGCCUUCAGCAGUAAUUAACAUUAAAACAUGAGCGAAAGCUCGAUUUAGUUAUGAUUUAUAUGGUCGGUAAAUUUCGUGCCAGCCACCGCGGUUAUACGAAAGACCAAAAACAAGGGCCUACGGCGUAAAGCGUGACUAGAGACAACUAAAAUAAUUAAAGGGGUACAACUACCAAGUCGUAAAACACUACUGCACGUUAGAACAACAAUAACCAAAUACCUUUAAAAUCACUUUACCUCACGAAAGCUAAGAAACAAACUGGGAUUAGAUACCCCACUAUGCUCAGCCCUAAACAUAGAUAGUAUAAAUACAAAACUAUCCGCCAGAGAACUACAAGCGAAAAGCUAAAAACUCCAAGGACUUGGCGGUGCUUCAAAUCAACCUAGAGGAGCCUGUCCUAUAAUCGAUACCCCACGUUUCACCUUACCUCUCUUAGCCAACCAGCCUAUAUACCGCCGUCGACAGCCUACCUUAUGAAAGAAAUAAAGUGAGCAAAAAAGUUAAUAACUAAUACGUCAGGUCAAGGUGUAGCAUACGGAGAGGCAGAGAUGGGCUACAUUUUUUCAAAGAAAAAACACGAAUAGUAAACUGAAAUAAAUACUUAAAGGCGGAUUUAGUAGUAAGACAAGAUAUAAUACUGGUCUUAAACCUGCUCUGAAGCGCGCACACACCGCCCGUCACCCUCAUCACAUACCACCCCACAUAAAAUAUAACACAAAAUAAAAC